UCUGUGGUGCAAGUGUCGACACUGUAGAGACGAUCACUUAUCUCAGCACUGACAUUCAUGCCUCUUGGUCCUCGACCUUUGAGAUGAAGAGACACCUGGGAA